GCCGGGGUGGUGGAAUAGGUAGACACAGGGGACUUAAAAUCCCCCGGGGGUGAUUCCCCGUGCCGGUUCGAGUCCGGCCCUCGGUACCA
rnacentral:tRNA from 1 species